GGUCUAUACAAGAUGAUCUAGAAGGACGGAUCCCAGGGUUGGGGACAGAGGAUGGGGAUCCUUUCGCUCUGCAGAUGGGAGAACACAGCUCACACACACAUACACACACACACACACACUCUCUUAAGUCUAUAUGAGACGAUCUAGGGGCAGGUCCUGGGGUCAAGAACAGAGCAGAGAGCAGUUCUGACAGGCACUUCCCUCAGACACCGCACGGAAGCCCAGGUCCCUGGGGUUGGGAUCUUUGGCCGGCUCCCAGCAGGUCCUGCUGUGUGUCCCCCGGGCUGCUGCUGAGGCAGGCUAGCUGACUGAUCCUGAACUCUACCUGCGAUCCCAGCAGGGCUGGGAGUUACCCCCGCCAUGCUGGCAGGAUGUAAAAAGCUCACUCACUGUUAAUACAGUGAUAAGUUGGCUUUUUUUUUCAGUCACUGCCCAUCUCACUACUUGUGUUUCUGUGUACUUUUAGACGGAGUGCUAGUACUGUUAUGGGGUUAAUUUGUGGUCCCCAUAUGAAACCAUGGCCUUGGCUACAAAUCGCUCAGGGCCAUGGGCUCCUGCCGGCCCCUUGCUGGUGCUUAUUGGGGUCGGCGGGUGGGGGUUCACAGCAUUCUGAAAGCACGCCCCGCUUCCUAGAGGAUGUCCAGUCCGCAGUGCGACCCUGAGCGCACCAGCUGUCAAGCAUGAGACACUCCUGCUGUGGGCUCUUCCACAGGUGAGGCAGUCAUCCCAUCCCUGCCGGUGGGUGUCAGCCACCUCCGCGGGGACCUUGCCCGGCUUGGCUUUCAAGCUGACGGCCUCUUUGGUGUCUAAACUGUAAAGCAAAUAAAUAAAUAAAUAAAUAAAUAAAUAAACUUUCCCAUUGAAACAUUCCAAUGCUCUAAGCAAGUCCUGAGACACAUACCUGAGGAGCUGAAGGGACAGGUCAGGCAGUGGCAGGGAACGGUGCAGUGGCCGUCCGGCUGGAAGGGGCUCCCCCGGCCCCCACAGCUGGGACAUUCGUGUCUCAGGAAGGGCCAAGGUGUCCUGCCUGCCCGGGGCCCGCAUGCCACACAACAGUCGCACCCUCUGGAGGAGACUGCUUUAUCCUGAUUUGCUGAUGUCCGUGUUUUGUUUACAUUGGUCGCUUUUCUCUGCUACAGUAGCAGUACCUUCACACACACACACACACACACACACACACACACACACACACACACACGGUAUGCACAUGCGCUUUUGAGUCUCCCCACCCCGUGAUACUUUUAUAUUUGUAAACUAAUGUUCCGAAGCAAUCCCAAGUGUAAGCGAGAUAUUUUUGUAAAAAGCAGUGGUUUUGCAAACCCAAACAAUCCUGCCGCGUACAUCCUUCAGAGUGUCUAUGGCUUGCAAACGGUUGCGCUGGUGUUUGGAGGGGUGGGGAGCAGGGCAGGGAAGACCAAAUUGCCCUGGCCUCUCCCCAGCUAGCUAGCUCCCCACAGAGGGUCAGCAGCAGCUGGGACCCCAGAACCAGUUCUCUUGGGGUUGCAGCACCUUCCCCUAAAGCCCAUUGCCUUUUCUGUGCUGUUUUAUCCUUUUCGAGCGCUCGAGAACAUUCUGGAACUGCUCUGUUUCUGCUUUGUACUGGUUGGUGCCUUCUUGGUAUUGUACCCCACCCACAACUCUGCAUAGAUUAUUUAGUAUAAUGGUAAGUUUAAAAACAAAAACAAAAAAAAAAGUAAAAGGAAGAUUUUAUUAAGAAUCUGAAUGUUUAUUCAUUAUCUUGUUACGAUUUAACAUUUAUUUGUGGUAUUUGUGAUUUGGUUAAUCUGUAUAAAACUUGUAAGUAGAAAGGUUUCUAUUUCAUCUUAAUUCUUUUGAUGUUGUAAAACGUACUUUUUAAAAGAUGGAUUAUUUGAAUGUUUAUGGCACCUGACUUGUAAAAAAAAAAAAACUCUACCAAAAAAAAAUUAGAAUCAUUAAAUUGUGUCCCUGUAUUACCAAAAAUAACCUAGUACCGUGCAUGUCUAGUUGAAUUGCAGUUUUGUGCCUGAAAAUAUGAAACUGUCUAUUUUCUUCCCAUUAGUUUUCCUUGCUGGCUUCCCUCGACUUAAUGAUGGAGUUUCCAGAAGUUCUUCCGUCCCUUGGAUAUGCAUAGGGGGCGGGAGGCUGUUCCGCGUGCAUCUCUCCUUCUGAACUUGACACCACCCCUAUCACCCCUACUCCACACACACAGGGGCAGAGGUCCCAGGCAUCCCAUUUGCUCAGGCUAGGCAGUUGUGGCUUCCUGUCAUCAGGCAUUAGCGAAGGUGCUGGGAUGUGUGGUGGACGCAGCGCAGAAAGAGAGGAUGGGGUAGACCCCUGAGCCCGCCCCCUCUCCGUGAGUAACAGCUCCUGGCCUCCGGCAGGUCCAGCUGCCACUUGCACCAUGUGCUGUUGAUGGUGAUCAACAGCUCACAGGUUGGGCCUGGAGCCUCCUAGCUGGGCACUCUGGCUUUUGUGUAUGGUUUUGCCUUUCUCUGAGGUGUCACUCAAGUGCCUGCUAACCAGAGUAACUGCUUCUCUGUUCAUUUUGUGAGAGAAACCUGUCACAAGUACCAUCCAGGGAUAUGAGCUCAUCAAGCCCCAUCUGGAAGUUUCUGGCAGGGUCUCUGCAGCCCUUGUGGGAGAGUUGUGGCAGACGCUUUCUCCUGGGUUAGUCCUCAGUGUGGUCCAGAGCCUACAGAACGCAAGUGUAAACUGCCCACUUUGCUCAGCACCAGAGUCUUAGCUAUGGUGGCUCAUCAAGAGACAAGAGACAGACCCUCCAUCCCUUGGUCCUCCCCAUGUGCCCACCAGAGACCAACCAACCAGACUGACACCAGGAGCCCAAAGCUCCAUCCGGGUUUCCUACCUGGCUGGCACGGACUUAAGCAUUCAAAACAUCAUCUGCUAACUCCCAGACACAUGAGCAAGAGCCUGGGUCAGAAUGGAGCCAGCUGCACUGGGGUCAUGAUGUGACACUGCUGCUUACAGUGCCACAUCGCCAUCAGCUCUGGUUCCAGACCCAGCCACUCUGCUUA